AUCUACAGCCAUACCACCCUAAAUGUGCCUGAUCUCGUCUGAUCUCAGAAGCUAAGCAGGGUUGGACCUAGUUAGUACUUGGAUGGGAGGAAUUAUAAAUCUUUCUGUAAUUA
ensembl:rRNA 5S_rRNA 5S ribosomal RNA